AAAGUUCAAGGGGGCCGAAUACUUUCGCAAGGCACUGUACCUUAUCAAGAAUGACCUUCUAUCAGAACAACACAUGCCUUAUCAAUAAUUAACUAUCAGAACAACACAUGCCUUAUCAAUAAUGAACUAUCAGAACAACACAUGCCUUAUCAAUAAUGACCUUCUAUCAGAAUCUAUUUUACUCCCCAUCCCCAUCUUAUGGUCAGGGUUGGCUAGUUUACUUUCUAAAUGUAAUCCAUUUCUCCCAAAUCCUGCUUAUGGUAAACAUUGCUUAGAUGAUAGCAGAUAACCAUUAUCUGAUCAAAUAAAUACAAGUUUAAGAAGAUUGUCAGUGUUUUCAAGUCUUGUUUUCUACUUCCUUCCAUCCUGCAUAAUUUUCAUUGCUUCUUUCUGCACUUGUUUUGGUGAUGCAGGACAGAAUUGAUUCAUAUUGUAGAAGAUGCAAUAAUGUAUUUGCCUUAAAGAAGAUAAUAUAUGUUGUCUUAUGGAGGAAAAGCACAGAGGCUAUUUUGUGCUUGUUAACGGCACACACACACAUACACAUACACACACACACAUACACACACACACAUACACACACACAUAGGGUUAGAUGGCUCCCAGGGGUGAUGACUAGGUUUGGGUGGUUUCCAGAUUUUAACAUCGUCAUACCGUCCUUCUCUCAUCCUGGGAUUUACAGUAUUACCGGCUUAGUACACAAGGGGGCGUCAAAAAAUACCAUUUGGCGUCUGUUACCAGAAUGUUAACAAAAGUAGCACAAGUAAUAGAGAAUUUCCAUGGAUGCUGCUAGCUAAAUAUGCUAAUGAGUGCAAAGACAGGCAAUCCAGUCCCACAUGUAUAGGUAGGAGCUACGGAAAUGUAAUUUUUGGUGAGUUUGGAAAUGUACAAGCGAAUGUGAACAAAAGACAUUAUGCAAAUGAACAAAGUUUUGACGCAUGCUUGUCUAGAAGAAGAACAGUACUGGCUCUGAAGCAGCAUGUAUACACACUGUGUCUGUGUGGAGUCUGGAGUCGCCAGGGUAACAGGCCUGCCUGCUCUGCUUGGAGAACAUAGGGGAGAAGCAGACGGGCUGAGAACGAAGAGGAGAAAAAAAACACAAGGAUAGCAGUGGCAGCUGUAUAACUAAUUAAUCCAAAGAGCUAUGACUUCUCAAACACGGCAGAAAGCUUACACAAUGAAUAUGUUUACAUACACAGUAAUACAUCAAUAUUUAACUCAUUAUGGCAGUAGGUCGAGUAUGGCAUUAGUCAUGUAAACACCUUACAUUACUUAUCUUAAUUGGCGUUCAGGUCAUAACCGAAGUGAACAUACGCUGAUUAAAAGACCUGGUUUUCUGAUCAAUCCUUCAAAUGAUUAGGACACGUACGUGGUUUAAUCAGCGUUCCAGUGUGGUAGUUGAUCUGUAUGUGCCAGCGCUGGUGGUUCAAUCUGAGUGAAAGAGUGACGUGAGUUCAGAAAAACUGAAAGUGUAAAUAGUUUUCACAUACAAACUUGACACAAUCAAAAUCUUUGCAAAAAUAUCAUUGGUAAAAAAGUUAGUUUUGAUUGGCGAUUUUCUGCAUUUAUCAAAGCAUGUAAACAUUUUGAACAAAUGAUUCUAUAACCUGACUAUCCACAAUCGCAUUAUUGUGUGCAUGUAACCGUGCUCAAUAUGAUCCCUCAUUACCGUAUGAAUUCAGUAACUUAGACCAGCAAGUUAAAUGUAGGAGGUGCAUUAACGCAUCAUCAUUUUUUACGAAGGAAAAAAAGAUCAAACGCAUAAGAGAUCUUGCUGUGUUUCGUAAACACGGAUCUAAACUGGUUCUUAUUUUAAUUUCUGCUCGGUAUCUGCCUCAUUUUGUGCUUCAGUUGCUGGGAUGAGAAUCACUAAUGGUCAGCAGACAGCGCUCUUGACUGAUGUGUUGCUACUUUUCUUCCGCACUUUUUCUCUAUGUGUAGCCAACCUACUUUUCUCCGGUGAAAUUCAAGAUGAACUUUAGGCUUAAUAUUAGGAAAUGUAGCUGGCUACAUUCUUUCUAUGAUAAACAGAAAUAUGAUGGCCAUGCAUCGUUUUAGCUUUUUGAUUGUGGACUCAUUUACUUGUGGCUGCCAGCCAGGUCUGUUAUCAUCUGAUGAAAAUGAAGCUAUUUUCUGCCGAAUGUGUUGGACUGAUGUAUUUUCUGUGAAGGAAAGCUGUAGUUGUACGUCCCUGAUUUACUCUAUUGAAGCAAAAAAAAAAAACACUUGACUUUCAAUAUCAAAAGCGAUCCCUGUCAAUACACAGCCGCUUUCUCCCGUUGUGCUAUUUACAAACAAACACGACUGUCUACCGUCCUGGGGAACUGUGCUUAGCUUCAUAAUGUCAAAUAAUGUGAAAUGAAGAACGCAAUCUGCUUUAUCUACUAAAGUUUUGCACAAGUUAACUGCAAGUAUUUGCUUAAAAAGUAGCUACAAAUAUUAUUUUUGUUAUUGAAAAAAACUUCAAGUUAAUAGUUUCAAUACUAUUGACAGUGUUGAAAAACCAUCCCGUCACUAUUUCCAAAUACCCCGGUAUACAACCCAAGCCCGGCGAUGACCUCUGCUCCAUUGUUAGUGUGAUGAUGAUGAUGAUACUGUGUUAUUCAUACCGACCCUCUGUAGUGAAGAGUUGGGGAGAAAAGGAACCCGGUAUGUAUUAUGUUUUGUUUAUGUUUUGAUUUCAUGGCUGACUUUCAAGAUGCGCAUCGUCAGUGCUUUGUGUGCUAACUGAAUGCAAUGAAUUAUUUUCUUCAUUUUGGAACAUUGUCUGGAUGAUAACCUGACGUUUAUCCACGUUUCUCCACACUUCCUUCAGAAAUAGGAUAUAUAUCUCAGAGAAUCUCACACCUUGUUCAGACAUCAUUCAUUCAGUGUAUGCCUGUGAAUGUACAUAUCGCUCAUCAAAUCCUGUCACAUUCUUCAUAUGCUCACCAGUCACUUCAACCAUGUGUUCACCUUACAUUAGACAGAUCUAUAUCUGUUCAAGGCAGCUAGCUAUUCUCUGAAUUAUUUGAGUAAAUGAUGAGUGUUGUCUGUAAGCAUCAUUAGCAUGUACACUACUUGACCAAAAAUAUAUGGACACCUUCUCGUCGAACAUCUCAUUCCAAAAUCAUUGUCAUUAAUAUGGAUUUGGUCCCCCCUCGGGUGCUAUAACAGCCCCCUCUUUUCUGGGAAGGCUUUCCACUAGAUGUUGGAACAUUGCUGCGGGGACUUGCUUCCAUUCAGCCACGAGCAUUAGUGAGGUUGGGCACUGAUUUUGGGCGAUUAGUCCUGGCUCGCAGUCGGCGUUCAAUUUCAUCACGAAGGUGUUCAAAGGGGUUGAGGUCAGGGCUCUCUGCAGGCCAUUCAAGUUCUUCCACACCAAUCUCAACAAACCAUUUCUGUAUGGACCUCGCAUUGUGCAGGGGGGCAUUGUCAUGCUGAAACAGGAAAGGCUUUCCCCAAACUGUUGCCACAAUGUUGGAAGCACAGAAUAAUCUAGAAUGACAUUGUAUGAUGUAGCGUUAAGAUAUCCCUUCACUAGAACUAAGGGGCUCGAACCAUGAAAAACAGCCCCAGACCAUUAUUCCUCCUCCACUGAACUUUAAAGUUGGCACUAUGCAUUGGGGCAGGUAGCGUUCUCCUGGUAUCCGCCAAACCCAGAUUCUUUGCAGUCGGUCUGCCAGAUUGUGAAGUGCGAUUCAUCACGCCAGAGAUCGCGUUUCCACUGCUUCAGAGUCCAAUGGCGGCAAGCUUUACACCACUCCAGUCAACACUUGGCAUUGCGCAUGUUGGUCUUAGGCUUGUGUGCAGAUGCUCCGACAUUGAAACCCAUUACAUGAAGCUCCCAACGAACAGUUCUUGUGCUGACGUUGCUUCCAGAGGCAGUUUGGCACUCUCUAGUGAGUGUUGCAACCGAGGACAGAUGAUUUUUACGCGCUUCAGUACUCGGUGGUCAUGUUUUGUGAGAUUGUGUGGUCUACCACUUCGCGGCUGAGCCGUUGUUGCUUCUAGACAUUUCCACUUCACAAUAACAGCACUUACAGUUGACCAGGGCAGCUCCAACAGGGCAGAAAUUUUACAAACUGACAUGUUGGAAAGGUGGCAUCCUAUGACAGUGACACAUUGAAAGUCCCUCAGCUCUUCAGUAAGGCCAUUCUACUACCAGUGUUUGUCUAUGGAGAUUGCAUGGCUGUGUGCUUGAAGUUAUACACCUGACAGCAACGGGUGUGGCUGAAAUAGCCGAAUCCACUAAUUUGAAGGGGUGUCCACAACUUUUAUUUAUUUAUAUAUAUAUAUAUAUAUAAUGAGAUGUUUCUGUGUCUACUACCGUUGCCCUUUGAGACCUCCCCCACUCUCCCUCCCUCAAGUUCUCCCCCGCGUCCGCUAUCGAGAUCUCCUCCAACUCUCCUGCAUCCGUCCCUGUCCUCCCCACCUCCCUCAAGAGCUCCAUCUUACCCACUGAGUCCUCUGUCGUCGUCCUCCUCACCUCUCCUGUCCUCCUCUCCUGUCCUCCCACCUCCCUCAAGAGCUCCAUCUUACCCACUGAGUCCUCCUCUGUCGUCGUCCUCCGCACCUCUCCUGUCCUCCUCCCCACCUCCCUCAAGAGCUCCAUCUUACCCACUGAGUCCUCCUCUGUCGUCGUCCUCCGCACCUCUCCUGUCCUCCUCUCCUGUCCUCCUCCCCUGUCCUCCCCACCUCCCUCAAGAUCUCCAUCUUACCCACUGAGUCCUCCUCUGUCGUCGUCCUCCGCACCUCUCCUGUCCUCCUCCCCACCUCCCUCAAGAGCUCCAUCUUACCAACUGAGUCCUCCCCUGUCCUCCUCCUCCCCUGUCCUUCUUCUCCCCCCACCUCCCCUGUCUUCCCCCUUGUCAUGUCUUUCCCCUGUGGCCAGACAGCAGCAGCAGGGAGGCACCCCCCCCCCCCUCUCUCUCUUUCUGUAAUCAACUCCCCAGGGACCACAGAUCAACCUCAUCGUGGCAAAAUGGCUCCCAGGGAACCACAAACGAACACAGUCAAAACAAACAUGAGUAAACAGGUGGAAUUGAUACUGGGGUUGUUUCUGUGUUUUACAGCUCUAAUCAGAGCAAUAGUUAUAUGGGGAAAUUGGGCAUUCAUUCACCAUAAAAACAAACUGUUCUUUUUUGGGGGGUCCUCUGUAGCUCAUUGCACUUGCAAUGCCAGGAUAGUGGGUUUGAUUCCCGGGACCUCCCAUACGUAAAACAGUUGUGUACGAAUGACUAAGUCACUUUGGAUAGAGUGUCUGCUAAAUGGCAUAUAUUAUUAAAAUUAUUAUACAUUUUGUUUGUAUAGAUGAAACAUUAGAUUGUGUGAAUGUUGACUUGUUCAUUGGUAAUGUUUAGUUGAACCAUAGAGAAUGAUAGAGGACUCUUCUGUGUAUCUGUCCCAUCUUGGUGUCUGUGAGAGCAUGGGCAGCGCCAUUGAGGCUAUCUCCAUUUUUUAAGUGUUCAUUGUUCUUCUACUAUUUCUAUGAGUUGGGAAACAAACUGAAAGGGUGCAUACUGCCACCUAGAGUUAGUUGUUUGAACAGGUAUAAAGCCUACUGUAUGUUGUCUGGAUGAUAUCCUGACGUCUCAGAAAACCUCACACCUUGUUCAGAGAUCGUUCAUUCAGUGUAUGCCUGUGACUGUCCAAAUCACUCAUUAUUAUCCUUUCACAUUUAUAUGCUCCUCAAUUAAUUUGUACCUUCAACCAUUUGUUCACCAAACAUUACGAAAGCUGAAGAACAUUCUCACAUCCAGGUACUUUCCUCGGGUGCUGGAGUUGUAGGCAAACUCAUGGAAAACAGAAAGAAAAAAAAACAGUCAUCAUUGCAGCUUCGUGUACAAAUGCAACUCAUAUACCCACCAACGCCCAGGACAAAGAUCUAAGAUCAACAGCCUGAUUACCUGCAUGUCCACCAAGGUUGUUUCCAUGUUGAAAUGGGGAAACCCAUAGAAGCCUUAAGACACGGAUCAGUGAGCACCGCAGCAACAUACAGACAGGAAGUGAUGUCACUGAGUACUGCUCCUAUAUAUAGGUCCUUCCACUCUCACCUGGGAUAUGAAUGCCUGAUGAAGACCUAAGGGUCAAACCGUUGUUAGAAAUAAAGAUUACCUGGGAGCAUGA